rnacentral:lncRNA from 1 species
GUAAAACAGCACACAAAAAUGUCAUUCAUCAUCACCUUUGCCAAGCAUGGUGGCAGAAGUGUUCAUUCUGCCUCUGUUUUACUGUAAUUUGUUGCAAGUCCUGUGGAAACAAGAAACUAAACACUUAAGGCCUGUGAAUUCUGUGGAAAGGAAAUGGGAGAGCACUUCUGCGGCCUCCACAGCAAUUUGUUAUACCAACUGUUAGCACAGAUGGGAAUGGUUUAACCUCAGAUAAUACAACUUGUGGAGGAAUAGUCAAUAAAUACUCAUUUAAGGAUCAGUCUAGGCAAAACAAUUAAGUGGACUUCAGUAGGAAUCUGUGGAAUAGCUAAGAAACAUGACCAGGCAACUCAGAUAUCACUUCAUUGUCAAAAUAAUUUCACUUGCGGAGACAAAGAUCUAUGAAGCUUCCAUUAUGACAAAUUCUGUUCCCAGCUUCACAAGCACUGCACAAAAAGCACACAACAUGUUGCAUGUGUCCAGAACUGCAGUGAGAACCUCUUCAUUUAAAUGUAUUUGUCCUAUUCAAGUGAUUCAGCAUGUAAUUAAGGUCUAUCGCGUUAUAAAAAUUAGCCACAGAUCACCAUUUGUUACAAGUGUGACUCACGGGGGCUAAGCCUGUUUAAUAUUCUGUCUGGCAGCAAAAUGUUCGAGGGCAGAAUCCAGAUCAAUACACACAAUUUUUUUUCAGUCUUCCCUGCGGUAGCAGUGUUGUACAUUUUGGCAUCUCUGUCUUGCCAACUGCAAUGAAAGAAAUUGUCAUUCAAAAUAAGACCGAUUAAAAACUGAUGUCCU